GUUGAUUCGAGGAUGCGGCUAGAGAUUCGGUACCGAUGGUGGCGCGAAUUUCGCAGGGCGGCAGUUUUGACGCGCACGUUCGCCCGUGUUUGCGGGUGGGGUUGGGUCCGCAUUGCUGCAUUGACGCAUAUGCGUCGCCCUCAUUUCAGCUGGUUUGCUACAUUGCAGCCACGUACGCUUAGAUAUGGUACAGCGAUAGCGCAGUGGUUUGUGUGGAACACAUUUGGCUGAAGUUACUCACUGAUCAAAACCUGAAAGGUUCGUCUAUGGUUUAUGCUUGUUCAGUUCUUUUUAGCAAUGAAUGAACCCAGCUUGCAGUGCCAUAAUGUGUAGUAGGUCUAAUUGCAGCACCGCUCUGUCAGCUGUGUGUGAGCACCGCUAAUUGCUGCAAAGCAAGUCUUUGUUGUUGAGCUCAGCAGCUCAUGGGCACACUUUUUAGACAAGGUUAUCUGGUGAAUAUGACAGGCAGACAGCUGUAAACACUCCUUAUGGAAAUGGUGUGCUCCUCACGAAGUCAAAACUUAUCGACGAUGUAUCCGAAGGAUGAUGGAUGGAUUUAUUUUGUUGGAGUUGUGACCAUUUGCAUGUUCGUACUAUUCUAAUAGUUUUAAAGUGGUCCAUGACAUUCUUUUCACUGAAUUGUGGUUAGCAAGCAAUCUGCGCCACCUUCCCUAGCACUUCACUCUGUCUCCACACAUUCAGUAUGUGACUUGUCCAGAUUCAAAACAUCAGCCCCUGUAACAUAUCUGAAAAACAAGCCAAAUUGGUGCUAUAGAUAAGUUAAUUUGUGUUAUCCUUUGAAAAGUAAGAAUCCUCCCAAACAGGUGCAGAACUCAGGGCUUACACUUCCAAGCUUCAGCCUAGAGCCUAGUCCCAAAACAGAUAUCGCAAAACAGAAUUUCACUAGCCUCUGUUUCUGCGCAUACUACUGAUAUAUUUUUUUUUCUCAAAAAACGCAGGAGAGCUGAUUACUAUAUUAAGAAGAAAAAAGGGGCAAGAGCCCAAACAACCCCACAGACACCAGACGUCCAGACACACACUCACGCCCCAACAUUCCCAUACUACUGAUCUUGUUUCAAAUACAUGGUGUGACUAGAAACUACCUGGCUUGAUUAUGGACAUCCCUCUUUCUCUGACUCUAAUCUAUGAAGCAAUACUUGGCCAAUCAGUUUUAUGGAUGCUCACAUUGUUUAUAGAUUGUCGAUGCUUGAUGCCUGCUUUAUAAAAACACCUCCUGAAUGACUUUUUUAUUUAUUGAGUUCCUACUAUAUAUUACAAAUUUUGUGCACAACAUAGGUUCGGAUGACCUUGUAUUUCAAUUAUCAUUAUCCAAAGCCCUUGAUAAAACACAGUACUGUGCUAGUGUGCUGUUGCAUGUGAAACUCAUUUUUAGCAGUACACAGUUUUUUCCAUUCUGUAUUCAACCUUCAUAGAAAAGGAUUCAACCUAUAAAUCGCAAACACAAUUAUUUGCAUUGUGCAAUUGUUAUUUUUUGUUCAAUUAUCAGUUCAGUUCACAGAAUGGGAACGUCUUGUUUUGUUCAUAUACUAAUCGCAUGCUUUUAUCUGAGUACGAAUUGAGUGGACUACGAUGUGGCUUCAAAUGCAUGAAAGGGGUGGAUAUCAAUAUAUCAUGAGAUCUUAAUGCCUCAACAAACUCUAUAUUUGUGAUUGCACCUCUGAUCAUCUGCAUUGGUAAUUUACUCUAGCAAAAUCAGAUACAUGAUCUUAACAUUCUUUUUUCAUCUGGUAUUCCUAUUUGUGAUUACCAUGUAGAAGCUUUCAUAGUUAGUCUGAUAGGAUGCAUACAUCAAUGAAAAGGUUAGUCUUAAAAAAAUCGACAUGUUUUUUUUUAUAUCUGUAACUCUGUACCUUGCAUUUUAUUGACACUGAGCAUUUUUUGAGAGUGCUUCCAACUUUAUUAUCUCCUUCCUUUGCUUUUUAAUUCUGUCUUACGAUUUUAUGAUUUACUGGACCUAACACAAAUUCAAUGGCACACAGUGCAAAUUUCAUGUGACCUUAGCAAUAAUAUGGCUUUAUCUCUGUAAAUUGUUUGCUUCUAUUUGACCUGGCUAUCACUGUGAUACAUGUGACUUAUGCACUAUGGAAAGGACAUGCUUGUAGCAUGGUGCUAAGUUGUCCAGUUGUGACUUGUGAGGCUACCGACCAGUGCUCAAACUCUGGUUCUCGCAAAAAAGGAAAUUGCGCCCUAGCUGCGCGUUCCUGAAAAUAUGGGUAAAGACCCAGUUUGCGGCAACAGUGUCCCUUUACAGUAAAAAACCAGCUUUUGGGUGCCUUUUCCUGACCUUUCAAGUAAUGCCUUCAGGAUGUCUCUCACUCUCUCCCUUGGGUUGAGGGUUUUGUUUUGAUUUUUCUUUGUUUUUUUUGCAUGGCUGCUGAUCUUCCUAGCUGUUCAAAGGUUACCAGAAUACAAAUAUUUCUACAAGCCUUGACAUCUGUUGGCACAUAUGUGUGGUCACAGUCCAACAAUAUGAUUGAUGGAACUAUUUAUAGUCACAGCUCAUGCAUAUGGCUUGUCUCUAAAAGUGUAAUGACUAAUGGGGGUUGUUAUGAGUGUUGAAAGUAAGAUAACUUUUAUUUUUCAUCGAGGGCAAAAAAGUAACGGAACUUAACUUGAUAGCUGCAGGCCAAACAAUGGAGUACUAUGUUAGUUACAGGGCUUUACCAGUAUGCUUCCAUAUGUUUAUCAUCAUGCUGAUGUCAUAGAGGCAAGAACCUUUCAGCGCAACAUCAAGAAGGAAUACAUCCUUUUCUUUGUCUUGUCUUUAUGUUUUCCUGGUACCUCUGUAUAUUAUUUGAUUUUAUUCAAUAAGAGGAUAAAAGGAUCUCUUAUGAGUUUGAAUUGGCCACUUUUCCUGACAUUCACAUUUUCUGAUUUUCAGAAAACUGUAGUUGUUUUAACUGAAUCAGGUUUUUUAAUUUAAAAUAAAAAGUAUGGUGCUUUCACUUGUGUUAUGUAUUACUCCAUCCAUCGCAAAAUAUAAUAAGUUUUAGACUAAACAUACAUUCAUUAAUGAACCUUGUAUGUCUACAUUCAUUAUCAUUCGAAUGAAUAUGGACGAGAAAAAAGAUGGCUAGAAAGAACUAUAUUUUGGGACGGAGGGAGUAUAUCAGAUAGAAUCAUUGAACUAUUUAUUUUUCAUAUUCUUUAUUGCAUAAGAUAACUGAAUAACAUGAAAUUUUGGUAUCCCAGGUUGUAGCACUACCUUAUUUAUAUGGUUUGAAUUUUUUAUAUUGUUCCUUCUUUUCUGUUAUCUUUCACUCGCUAAUGGUGAUGUUUGGUGGACAGCAAUGUACUGUUGCUGGCAAUGUUGAGACUGCAUAUUACAAUAUAAAUUAAAUGUAUUUUUUCAUCUAGAGUGAAGGAAUGAGAGAAUGUGUAUAAUGUGUGGGAUGUAUUGCAUUGAGCCUCCAGAGAGAAUAUAUAGGAGUACAUGACUUGGAGGGCAAGAAGCCUAUCCUAAAGAUAAGAAAGGUUAUCCUAGAUAUAAGGAAGAUUAUCUCGAUAUUACAAUCAAUUCUAAACCAACCAUAUCAGGAGUUGCCUAAUAUACUCUAACAUGGACUAGCACUGUCACUCAGCUGCCAUUUUGACGUCUUACUACUACUUCUCUUUCAUACUUCUUUUUUUGCUUUCCUUUGAACUGUUGUAUUCAUUUUCGAAACAUGCAGAUACGUCCAAUACUGCAGCGCAUAUGUCAGAGCAGAUACAAGAUUCUUCUAAAUAAAGAUAAUUAAAGUGCAUAUGGACAUAAGUUGAACACAUCAUGAACACAUCAUGGCGAUGCCAUAUAGUUAAUGAUGCACAAACUCAAUGGAGCAUAUAUUGAGUCUCACCACAUUGAGGCUUCAUAUAUUAACCAAUCUACAUGGUAAGUAAAUAUUCAUGAAUAGUUCCUUCCUUUUUUCCCCUUGAAUGUGUUUACUUCUUUUUGAGGGUGAUUGUUCUUUUGGACCCUAUCAAAUCAACCAGUCCUUUUCCAUUCCUGUAUUCAAGUAGAAAGCGAUCAAGUAGCUUGGGUUCUCCACACAGAAACGUUUACGACAGGAACAGGAAAAUGGAAGGGGACGAAAGUAGCUCUCAGGUCAAUAUUUCAAAUUUCUUCCUUUACAAAUAUACAACUGCCGUCUGUCGGCAACUUAUCGAAAGAAAUGAAAAAUACAACAUGCAAUAAUUAAUUUGCAUGGACAUGCAUGGCAGCAGUUGAAAGUUUGGGGCUACUUGCACGUUGAGAGCUACCGACACAUGCAUUUUUGCCUAUGGCUAUCUAUAUUUAUUUAAUUUCCACCAGAGAGAACAAAAACUCAAAUAUGCAAAAGUUCAGUCGUGUACAGAAGGAAAACAUCAAUUUUCAAGAGAAAGGAAAGGAGACUCUAGAACAUACUUUCCUAUGCAUCCUGCUGCAACUUCCAAUGCCAGGGCUGUCCAUUCCUUGAUAUUGCCAGCUCUUCAACUGAGGAACAGCUGUGGAGGAUGAUUUCUGUAUCAACUUAACGUAUCUAUGUGAGCAAUUCAGCAUAAUUCUGCCCACGAAUCUCUGAAAAUUACGAGUUUCUGCUUCUUCUGAUCUGCUCUCUUCCAUGUGGUGGAACAUAAUGCCUAGAUAUUCUCAAAAGAUAGUUGCAUUCUUUGCAAGUCCUUGUCAUACAUGUCUGGUGCUACCUGCAGCUGUUGCUGUGGCUGCUGAUUCUGGAACCAAGAAGCACAUAUCCCUUCUAUGUUGAAUUGGCUCUCUGCCUUGAUCACAUCAUCAUAAAGCGUUUGGCUCUGGUUCUGCAUGGCUGUGGUCGUCUCGGCAAAGGAGUCAGGCCACUUAAGUUCCGCAACUAGGUGAGCCCUUGUAUCUUUUUCUUGUCCAAUGUCUGUCCAUGGGAAGACACUGUUCUCCAGAAUUGUGCUCGUGCUCUGUGGUUCAAAUCCCAUACUGUUGCUCCCUCUGCUCCCAGUACUGCUACUGCUGCUAGGAUUAGUACCAUCCCAGUAGAAUGAAUCUACUGCGGUACUUCCAAUGCCAGUUCCUCCAUGUCGAGGAUUAUCAGGUGGAAGAUUCAGCCCCAUUGAUGUAGAGAGGGCCGAUGGUGAAACUGGCGGCAUCACUGUAGAAAUUGUGCUGCAGUUGAAGUCACUCUGGUUGAACCAGAGUGAAUUCAUAUUCGCCCCAUCGCUGCUGCCACUCUCACUGUUGUAGCCUAAAGGCUGUUGGAAAGGGAAAUAGAGAGUUUGGCCUGAUGAGUGGCAGGUUGAUGGACUCUCAUGUCCAGCAGUAAGCUGCUCCAGGAACAGCUCCUUUGGUGGCAGCUUAGGGCGUGCCAAGUUUGGUGUUUCAGCACGAUUCUUGUCGUACACGGGCAUCAGCAUUGAUGAUUGAGCCGUCUCGCUGAGGAGGGGGCUCAAGUUCCCCAGAGGACCAGUGCUUGAUGGGUUGACGUCGCUGGACCCUGAGGUUCUCUCGGUGCUGAUGGUGGGAGCUGCACCGCCGCGAUCAGCCUCAGUAAGUGGCUUGUGGGUGUUGGGAUCAAUGCCUUUCUGCCUCAGCUUCUUCUUGAUGCACGAGUUCCAUAGAUUCUUGAUCUCAUUAUCAGUCCUCCCUGGCAGCUGCGCUGCAAUUUGAGACCACCUUCUCAUGGAAAAAGUAAAGUGCUAAUAUCAGCUAAAUUACCAACUGCUGCUUUGCACAUAUGCAGUCUAGAAUUCUGAUACUACUUCUUCAGGCUUCAAAUUUACCUGUUCCCGAGGACAGCGUGCAGCUCGAUGAUGAGGUCUUCUUCGUCUUGGGCGAAUGCCCCUCUCUUGAGGUCUGGCCUCAGAUAGUUUAUCCACCUCAGCCUACAACUCUUUCCGCACCUUUGAAGCCCUGCAACAAUUUGUCUUCUCGAAUUUAGAUAAUUGAACUGACCGAGAGGUAUUUGAGAGACAAGAGGGGUUUCAGCUGGCAAUUGGAAAUGAGAAAAAUGCAGAGGGAGGAGAAGGGGAGGAUUGAGAGUUGAUAACUGAGGACCAAGGGAAGAAAAAUUUCAUCGUACAUACCAGCGAGUUUGGGAACAGAGCUCCAGCAGCCAUGGCCAUGCUUUGUUAUGUGAUUCAUGAGUUUCUCAUCCUCCUCAGGGGACCAGAGCCCCUUUCUCAGCUUCUGCUUGUAGCAGCAAGAAUGCCUCCCCAUCUCAACGCAAUGCAGAACCUGGGAGCUCCAACCAAACUCACAGAGCUUACAGGUCUGCGGAAUGUAUAAUUAUGCACGACGACGAACACCUUCUCCGGUAGCACAGAGCUUCUUCGACGAUGUUCUGAAGUAGUGGGAAAUUGCAAAGGUUGUAGCGACUUAUAUACCAAUGAAUGGUUGGGCUUCAUCUGAGGCCAGGAUUGAGCAACUGCAUGGCUGCAGAUAGGAGAUUUCAGUGGAAAGCAAGGAAAGGCUAGGGGCACUCCUCUCCUUUUCUUCGCAGGACAGCCCUUUAGCACCCUUCUUUUAAAGGUGGUGGUGGAGGUGGAGGUGGUGGUUGUGGCUUGUGGGGCUUGUGCCAAGGGAUGGAGGUUUAGCCCUUCCCUUGGCCUGCUUCCGGCUGUGUGUGUGGGCGUCUGCCUCAUCAUCUCCUAAGAAUCUAUGUCUGGUGCCAAAAUCGGUGGGGUAGCCCCGUAGCCACCUCCACCGAUAUUUAAUUGUCGUGACCUUUGUGCAAGAAACUGUUACAUUAAACCACCCUCCAUCUUCCUUUGCACCCCGGUUCCCAUGCAUGCCCGGUGUGUUUCUUCGGGCACAAGCCCAGUGAAAGUGAAACACGCGUGUCCAUAUUCAGAGUCCAUGUUAUUUAUUUUUUUUUGAAAGACCAGAGUUCAUGUUAUUAGGACACGGAUUGAUGCUCUUGCUGCCAUGGUAAGUGACUGUGACAUUUAGCAGCCGGUUUUCUCUCUCUCUCUCUCCCUCUCUCUCUCUCUUUUCCGCAGCUACUUCUGUGUCACGGGUGCUCCAUGCACGGCAGAGCACACAGUUGGGAAGAGGCCUCUUGUCCACCUUUCAUCUGUUGCUAAUUAAGACUCCUUGUCUUAGCUGCUGUUCGUUCCGUGCAUGUGCAUCUCAUUUUCUUUGUCACCUGCAAGAUUUUAUGCGUCAGACCAAAGUGUUGUCCUUUUUUUCUUCUUGCUUUUCAGGUACGGUAACUCACUCACUGGGUCACUUCUUUCUGGUGAGGAAGGAAAAGGCUUGGUCAAUCAUCACAGUUAGGGUCGUGGGGGGAGGGAAAAAAAAGGCGAUGUCAGUGAUGUUCGUAUUCCAGGACAGAGAGCAUCUUUCCUUUGUUUAUCGCCGGCCGGCAGCUAGCAAUUCUAAUCAGAAAUGGUUACUGCUCCGGUCCAACACCAAUAGAAGCACGUCGCGGGCGCUGGAUGUCUGUCAAGAAUCAAGCUUCCCAUAAUCGCGAUGCAGGACCGGACUUGCGGUUGAGCCAGAAAAUAAAAAGGACUGCAUGCCAGUGCCAGGGAAGAAGUGCUCGUUCGUCCACUCCAGAAUCUGGAGCAGAUGAAGCUGACCCUACAGGUGAUUAUAUUAUUGCAUGCGUGUACGGACGGAGGUGGGCAUUAUUCUGACGAGGGGAAGGGAAGGGGAGGCGGGCGGCGGCAGCGGAGCAUGGCAAUUAACAACAAGGCUGGCACUAGAAGAUCACGGGGAAGGCGAGUUUGACAACGGGGGCAUCUUUUCUGGGGUCCCCAGAGGCCCACUCCCCACACGAUGAUGCAUGCACGGGGUCUUUUCGCCCAGAACAACUAGUGAAUGCUGCUGGACAGGAAUACCCUGCGAGUCGCCGUUGUCCUUGUCACGCCUUUUGUUUUCCCCUCCCGUUGCUAGCUGUCCGCGGACGUGUACGUGCCCAGGCAUCCUAUACGAACGCCAUGCACCAAGGAAAGGUGGCUACUAGAUUUAAAUCCGGAAUACAUAUAUAUUAUAUAUGCAUCUACCCAUCUCGUUUUCAUUUCUGGGCCUUUCAAUUUCAACAGCAGCUCAUCCCACGGACAAUCGUCCUGAGGUGUGCAGUAUUCAUGCAUGGACGCCUGGCCUCCUCCUCUGCAGAAUUGGAACAUCAUAUCGAAUUGGCGAGCGAGUUUUGCAGAUUUAAAGAGCUAUUUCAGUCAAGCUUCAAGUGGAAGUAGACCAAGUACUCGCGCUAGUGGAGUUUGCAAUGACCCCGGAAUACAAGUUGAAGUUCAAGAGAAUAAUAGUGAAGAUGCCAAUGGUGAAGUCGAAGAAGCAGUCACACGUGCAAUUAAAGAAGAAAUGGGGGAUUGUUUAUUCUCUGUUCUUGUUGAUGAAUCCCGUGAUAUAUCGAUUAAAGAACAAAUGGCUAUUGUUGUGAGAUUUGUCAAUAAAAAGAGUGAAGUAAUAGAAAGAUUUUUGGGCAUCAAGCAUGUCAAGGACACAACAUCAGAAUCAUUGAAGAAAGCAUUAGUUGAGAUGAGAGUGGAGAAAUUUCAUCAAAGAGAGGCAAACAACAAGAAACAUCAUUGUCAAGACCUGGAGAUACAAGAUGGGGAUCUCAUUACAAGACUUUGCUCCGUAUUGAGUCAAUGUGGGAAUCAGUGAUAGAAGUUUUAGAAAUUGUGCACCAAGAUGAGCGUAAUCCAUCAGGUGCAGGUGGCUUUGUUGGGAAAAUGGAGUGUUUCAGCUUUGUGUUUAUGAUGAAGUUGAUGUUACAAAUCCUCCGUAUCACAAAUGAGCUUUCUCUUCUCUUGCAAAGAAAGGAUCAAAACGUUGUCCAAGCCAUGUCUUUGGUUGUUGAUGUGAGAACAUGUUUGAUAAAUUUGAGAAAUGAUGGUUGGGAGCCAUUGUUGGAAGAAGCCACAACAUUCUGCCUUGCAAAUGAUAUCCCAAUUCCAAAUAUGAGUGAUGUUGUACCACGAUUUGGUCGAUCAAGGAAAGGUGGGAGAAAUAAUAUUACCACGGAGCAUUUUUAUCGUGUUGAUACUUUCUAUGUUGUUAUAGAUUCUAUCACCACAGAGUUUGAUCAUCGCUUUAAUGAGCUAUCUCAAGAGUUGCUUGGGUGUUUUUCUUGUCUUGACCCAAGGGAUUCGUUCUCUAAGUUUGAUGUGGAUAAGCUUGCUCGGCUCGCGGAUAUCUAUUCUGAUGAUUUUUCUUUUGAUGAUUGCAAGACUAUAAAAGAUCAACUAAGAACUUUUAUUAUUCAUGUACGAAGAAUUGAAGAGUUCAAAGCUUGUUGUGAUAUUGCUAGUCUAUCGAAGACAAUGGUUCAGCUUGAGAGGCAUAUUGUGUUUCCACUGGUAUAUCGACUUAUUGAGUUAGCACUGUUGUUACCGGUAGCGACUACAACAGUGGAAAGGGCCUUCUCAGCUAUGAAGAUUAUUAAGACUGAGUUGCGCAACAAGAUGUCCGAUGGUUGGUUAAAUGACUUGAUGGUGUGCUACAUUGAAAGAGAAAUUUUUAAAGGACUGGACCUUCAGAAAAUAAAGAAGGCAUUUCAAAAUAAGAAAACUAGACAAAUGCAAUGUCUAGAUCUCCUAGAACUAGACUCAACUAAAGAUUUUAUUCGCUAUAUGGCAGUUGGUUGUAAAUGGAUUGUAAUCAAGAUGACUAUUAAAUAAGCUGCAGGUGCCGUAGUCGCACUUCUCCGGCGGCCACCAGUCCAAUAUGGCGCAGACGAAGUCGUCGUCGGUGACGGCGACGGCGGACCGCGAGUCCACGACCAUUGCCUCGCCGCCGGCGAAGGCGGUGGUGCUCGUGCUCACGGUGGCGGAGCCGGCGAGCCAAAAGAGCGCCCAGACGACACAGAAGCCGGCCAUCUUGAGCGGCAGCCCUACCGCCAUUCCGCGAAAUUAAACCGACGAGACCAAGAAUCAAGGAGGAGGACAGCCCGAGUGGCAGGCAACAAGGCAAGAGAAGGCUUGCCGCCGGAGGGAAAAUGCAGGGGAAAGGAGGCAGUCCCCUCUUGAGGAAAUUAAAAGCGAGCCCCUUUGCGUCCGGGAGGGAACAUGGAAGGUUCUUGGCUUCUUGCCAGCUACACCGUGUAAAGCAUCUCGAGGCGAGGGGGGAGCCUCAGGUGUGGUGUGGUGUAGUGUGGUGCGGUCAGUGGGUGUGGCCAAGAGAUGGAUGCAGAUAGACAGUUCCUGGUGGUUCAGUUUCACUGGUUUCUUGGUUGGAGGGCUGCUGCUGCUACCGCCACCGCCUUUAAUGGAUGCAGGCUCGACGGGCCGAGGAAGGUAGUAUAUGGCAACGAGAGGGAGGAAGGAAGCAGGCAACGCAAAAUGAGCACUCUGAUUGAGCAGAGCAGGAGCUGGGAGCAGUCGUAUCACGCCUCGAGGACACGGUUAGUUAGAGCAUAGCUGUCAAAUCUUCAACCUUUUGUCAUAUUAUUAUAGUAUCUCUAUGCAACAGCUAUAAUUUUCUAAUAUUAAGUAUUGAUAUAAUAGUAUUUAAAAAACAAUGGUAAAUUUUGUACAGAUUUAGGAUACCCCUUCACCAAUGUACAGAGCACAGUACUUUUGUAACCGCACAAAGAGUGUACUGCUGUUCAAAAGAACAUUUUCAGCAGUUCUCUGUUCCUACACCAAAUAUAUAUAAAAAACUAU